rnacentral:rRNA from 1 species
UACGUAGGUGGCAAGCGUUGUCCGGAUUUACUGGGCGUAAAGAGCGCGCAGGCGGUCGUUCAAGUCGAGUGUGAAAGCCCCCGGCUCAACUGGGGAGGGUCACUCGAUACUGAUCGACUUGAAGGCAGGAGAGGGAAGCGGAAUUCCCGGUGUAGUGGUGAAAUGCGUAGAUAUCGGGAGGAACACCAGUGGCGAAGGCGGCUUCCUGGCCUGUUCUUGACGCUGAGGCGCGAAAGCUAGGGGAGCAAACGGG